rnacentral:rRNA from 1 species
CCUACGGGAGGCUGCAGUGAGGAAUAUUGGUCAAUGGGCUUACGCCUGAACCAGCCAAGUCGCGUGAGGGAAGACUGCCCUAUGGGUUGUAAACCUCUUUUGUCAGGGAGCAACGCCUGCUACGUGUAGCCGGACUGAGAGUACCUGAAGAAAAAGCAUCGGCUACCUCCGUGCAAGCAGCCGCGGGAAUACGGGGGUUUCGAGCGUUAUCCGGAUUUAUUGGGUUAAAAGGGUGCGUAGUCGGAAUGCAAAGUAAGCGGGAAAAUCGGGGGGCUAAACCUCGCUCUGCAGUUGAAACUGGCGGUCUUGAGUGGGCGAGAGGUAGGCGGAAUGCGUGGUGUAGCGGUGAAAUGCAUAGAUAUCACGCAGAACUCCGAUUGCGAAGGCAGUAUACCGGAGCCCAACUGACGCUGAGGCACGAAAGCGUGGGUAUCGAACAGGAUUAGAUACCCGGGUAGUC